rnacentral:rRNA from 1 species
CUGGCGGCGUGCCUAAUACAUGCAAGUCGAACGCACUCUCGUUUAGAUUGAAGGAGCUUGCUCCUGAUUGAUAAACAUUUGAGUGAGUGGCGGACGGGUGAGUAACACGUGGGUAACCUGCCCUAAAGUGGGGGAUAACAUUUGGAAACAGAUGCUAAUACCGCAUAAAACCUAACACCGCAUGGUGUAGGGUUGAAAGAUGGUUUCGGCUAUCACUUUAGGAUGGACCCGCGGUGCAUUAGUUAGUUGGUGAGGUAAAGGCUCACCAAGACCGUGAUGCAUAGCCGACCUGAGAGGGUAAUCGGCCACACUGGGACUGAGACACGGCCCAGACUCCUACGGGAGGCAGCAGUAGGGAAUCUUCCACAAUGGACGAAAGUCUGAUGGAGCAACGCCGCGUGAGUGAAGAAGGUUUUCGGAUCGUAAACUCUGUUGUUGGAGAAGAAUGUAUCUGAUAGUAACUGAUCAGGUAGUGACGGUAUCCAACCAGAAAGCCACGGCUAACUACGUG